rnacentral:rRNA from 1 species
UGACGAGUGGCGGACGGGUGAGUAAUGUCUGGGGAUCUGCCUGAUGAGGGGGAUAACUACUGGAAACGGUAGCUAAUACCGCAUAAUGUCGCAAGACCAAAGUGGGGGGACCUUCGGGCCUCACACCAUCGGAUGUGCCCAGAUGGGAUUAGCUAGUAGGUGGGGUAAUGGCUCACCUAGGCGACGAUCCCUAGCUGGUCUGAGAGGAUGACCAGCCACACUGGAACUGAGACACGGUCCAG